CCAAAAAUUGGAGAAUCUGUUUCUGUCAACUACGGAAAGAUAAAAUCGUCAAAAAGUGCGAUAUUUGAUAAUUGUUAAUAGAAAAAUAGAGGAAAUAAUAGGAUAAAUAGAAUAUUAUCCACCAGUGUGAGCAAGUUCUAAGGGCGUCGUUCGAUCCUGUAAAGAAACGUAUUAAAAAAUCGGGGUCAGUCGGAGUUCAACUAAAUACAGACGACAUAUAUGACAGCAACCCGCUAUAAGACUUCAUGCGCAAUGCUAAACAUUCGACCAAAAAAGUAAAAUUGAAACAAUCUGUUCAUCAAAGGAUGUCCAUACAGAUCAUGAAACCAGGAGCCCACCCUAUCCCCGUCGCUCAUUCUCCCGCUUGGAACUUCAGCGGACUCCGGAUAUCAUUAGGGAAUGAUGCCUUUUUAUCAUAUCUCAACAGUAAUGAAGUUGUGUUUUUAAGAAAAACCUGAAUAUCGAAUGAGAAAACUAAUAGUCAAGAACUAAUUAAGUGGAUUCGUAAACAGAUUGAACAGAACAGACAAUGUUUGAAGACUUUUUCAUAAGUUCAUCAUCUUUAAUACAUAGAAUUAUAAAUUCAGUAAUUUCUCGUGUCACUAUACAAUUAUAGUAACCAAAUCAAUAAUACACUAAGCAUAUAUGUGUGUAUAUUCAAUGCAACAACAUAAUAGCAUAGAAGAACAACGGUUUUGAAAGAAGAAACACACUAAUUUAAAAGGCAGUAAGGAUACACUAUAACCAUUCAUUCAUAAUGGUUUGUAUGGUAAACUUUUUACAAAAAUACCAACAAGAAACAAUAAAUCAAUUAAUUCACAUAAAAUGACUGGAAUGUGUUACAGAAACUAAUUUUUAAUACAUAAAAUUAUAAAUUUAGUAAUUUCUCGUGUCACUAUACAAUUAUAGUAAAACCAAAUCAAUAACACACUAAGCAUAUAUGUGUGUAUAUUCAAUGCAACAAAAUAAUAGCAUAGCAGAACAACGGUUUUGAAAAAAGAAACACACUAAUUUAAAAGGCAGUAAGGAUACACUAUUACCAUUCAUUCAUAAUGGUUUGUAUGCUAUACUUUUUACAAAAAUACCAACAAGAAACAAAAAAUCAAUUAAUUCACAUAAAAUUAUUGGAAUGUGGUAAAGAAACUAAUUUAAAAUACAUAAAUUUAUAAAUUUAGUAAUUUCUCGUGUCACUAUACAAUUAUAGUAACCAAAAUCAAAAAUACACUAAGCAUAUAUGUGUGUAUAUUCAAUGCAACAAAAUAAUAGCAUAGAAGAACAACGGUUUUGAAAAAAGAAACACACUAAUUUAAAAGGCAGUAAGGAUACACUAUUACCAUUCAUUCAUAAUGGUUGUAUGCUAUACUUUUUACAAAAAUACCAACAAGAAGCAAAGAAAUCAAAUAAUUCACAUAAACUGACUGGAAUGUGGUUCAGAGACUAUCUUUUAAGGAAGUACAGAGCACCAUUAAUUUAAAUUCAAGCAUUUUUCACGCACUUUUCAAUGUUAAAAAAGUGAAAUUCCAGCAAUUUUCCUAUUUGCAACUGUAAAAUUUCUUGAAGUACUUUUUAUUGCAAUUCUUACAAAUAUAUUUGUAUACAUACAUAACAAUAAAAACAUGUAGUUAA